UACGUAGGGGGCAAGCGUUGUCCGGAUUUAUUGGGCGUAAAGAGCGUGUAGGCGGCUAGAUAGGUCCGUUGUGAAAACUCGAGGCUCAACCUCGAGACGUCGAUGGAAACCAUCUAGCUAGAGUCCGGAAGAGGAGAGUGGAAUUCCUGGUGUAGCGGUGAAAUGCGCAGAUAUCAGGAAGAACACCGGUGGCGAAGGCGGGUCUCUGGGCAGUAACUGACGCUGAGGAGCGAAAGCGUGGGGAGCGAACAGG
rnacentral:rRNA from 1 species